UGCAAGCUCGUUAAAAACCUAGCUCGACUUUUGCACGACUGUGGAUCGGUACACCAUCGAGUUUCUCAACAGGGAAGAUCCGACGACUCUCUUCCUCCAUCGUCAUCGCUCAGCUCAGUCCAUCUCUGCUUCUCGGUCCAGUGAGGGGAGGAUAUCAGUGUAUGUGUCUGUUUGGCAAGCUUGAUAUCAUUAUUUGAUGAUGAAGGAACAUUUGAUGGUGGGAAAUUUUUUAGCUAGAAUUACAUUACCAAAUUGGAAAUGAGGAAAAUAUUAGUUCUGAUUUGCAAAUUUGCAGUAAAUGCCCGGCGAUCAAGAGGAAAUCUCAAAUAAUUCGUCCUAACUAUGCGAUGCUUACUGUACGUGAAGUUGUUGGUUCAACAGUUGCAUGGCCUUCUCAAAAGGUUAUUCCAAGAUGAUUUAUUUGGUUAUUUGAUUAUAUAAAUGCUUGUUCAACAUUAACCGAUAUGCAAUCCAUGAUUAUUGUAAAUUUGGUUACGCAUCAUGAUAUUAUUGACUGUUUUAGAUGAAUGAUAUGAUAUUUCAUGACCUCAUUAGUUUUUAUUUUAUGUUUUAUUUACUAUAUUCAACCAGUGAAGUGCAAAAUAAAAUCUAAUUUGGAAGGCUUUGGUGUGCUGACAUUUGGAAGAUCAUGAAUUCCUACCUUUACUUUUGAAUAUGUAAUUGUUUAAGACUAUUUUGUUGACUAUUGUGAGAAUGUUUUGUUUAUGUUAAUUAGAUAGUGUUGAAAAUCUUAAGACUUUUGGAUUGUUUUUUAGAUAAUCUUGAAUGUAUUUUGACACAAUUAUUUAGUUAUAUGUGUUAUGAACC